rnacentral:rRNA from 1 species
UGGAAACGACUGCUAAGACUGGAUAGGAGACAAGAAGGCAUCUUCUUGUUUUUAAAAGACCUAGCAAUAGGUAUGCUUAGGGAGGAGCUUGCGUCACAUUAGUUAGUUGGUGGGGUAAAGGCCUACCAAGACUAUGAUGUGUAGCCGGGCUGAGAGGUUGAACGGCCACAUUGGGACUGAGACACGGCCCAAACUCCUACGGGAGGCAGCAGUAGGGAAUUUUCGGCAAUGGAGGAAACUCUGACCGAGCAACGCCGCGUGAACGAUGAAGUAUUUCGGUACGUAAAGUUCUUUUAUUAGGGAAGAAUAAAUGAUGGAAAAAUCAUUCUGACGGUACCUAAUGAAUAAGCCCCGGCUAACUAUGUGCCAGCAGCCGCGGUAAUACAUAGGGGGCAAGCGUUAUCCGGAAUUAUUGGGCGUAAAGGGUGCGUAGGCGGUUAAAUAAGUUUAUGGUCUAAGUGCAAUGCUCAACAUUGUGAUGCUAUAAAAACUGUUUAGCUAGAGUAAGAUAGAGGCAAGUGGAAUUCCAUGUGUAGUGGUAAAAUGCGUAAAUAUAUGGAGGAACACCAGUAGCGAAGGCGGCUUGCUGGGUCUUUACUGACGCUGAGGCACGAAAGCGUGGGGAGCAAACAGGAUUAGAUACCCUGGUAGUCCACGCCGUAAACGAUGAGUACUAAACGUUGGUUAAAACCAGUGUUGAAGUUAACACAUUAAGUACUCCGCUUGAGUAGUACGUACGCAAGUAUGAAACUUAAAGGAAUUGACGGGACUCCGCACAAGCGGUGGAUCAUGUUGUUUAAUUCGAAGGUACCCGAAAAACCUCACCAGGUCUUGACAUGCUUCUGCAAAGCUGUAGAAACACAGUGGAGGUUAUCAGUUGCACAGGUGGUGCAUGGUUGUCGUCAGCUCGUGUCGUGAGAUGUUGGGUUAAGUCCCGCAACGAGCGCAACCCUUAUUGUUAGUUACCAGCACGUAAUGGUGGGGACUUUAGCAAGACUGCCAGUGAUAAAUUGGAGGAAGGUGGGGACGACGUCAAAUCAUCAUGCCCCUUAUGACCUGGGCUACAAACGUGAUACAAUGGCUGUUACAAAGGGUAGCUGAAGCGCAAGUUUUUGGCGAAUCUCAAAAAAACAGUCUCAGUUCGGAUUGAAGUCUGCAACUCGACUUCAUGAAGUUGGAAUCGCUAGUAAUCGCGAAUCAGCAUGUCGCGGUGAAUACGUUCUCGGGGUUUGUACACACCGCCCGUCAAAC